rnacentral:rRNA from 1 species
UUGAAGCCCCAGUAAACGGCGGCCGUAACUAUAACGGUCCUAAGGUAGCGAAAUUCCUUGUCGGGUAAGUUCCGACCUGCACGAAUGGCGUAACGACUUCCCCACUGUCUCCAGGAUAUGCUCAGCGAAAUUGAAUUCUCCGUGAAGAUGCGGAGUACCCGCGGUUAGACGGAAAGACCCCGUGCACCUUUACUACAACUUCACACUGGCAUUAGGCCGAACAUGUGCAGGAUAGGUGGUGGGCUUUGAAGCGUGGACGCCAGUCUGCGUGGAGCCUCCCUUGAGAUACCACCCUUGUUCUGCUUGAUGUCUAACCGCGGUCCGUUAUCCGGAUCCGGGACCCUGUGUGGUGGGUAGUUUGACUGGGGCGGUCUCCUCCCAAAGAGUAACGGAGGAGCACGAAGGUUGGCUAAGUACGGUCGGACAUCGUACGGUUAGUGUAAUGGUAGAAGCCAGCUUAACUGCGAGACAGACACGUCGAGCAGGUACGAAAGUAGGUCAUAGUGAUCCGGUGGUUCUGAAUGGAAGGGCCAUCGCUCAACGG